rnacentral:rRNA from 1 species
CCUUUAAAAUCUAACAUGAGCUGAGUUCAGAACGGCGUGAGCUAGUUCAGUUUCUAUCCUCUUUUAAAAAUGAGCUAAUUUUGUACGAAAGGACUUUUUCGCUAAAGCAACGCUUUGCCCUGGCUCUGUCAUUGCUUAAAUAAUGCUACGCAAUAAACUGAUUAGUUUAUAAAAAGGGUUA